UACCAGUUCUCUGUCUGUAUUUAACUGUUUCAUCUAAAAAGAAGGAGAAAAAAUGUUUAUUUUGGGGAACCAAAACAAUGAUAUGAAAUCAAAGGGGGCUGAUGAAGGAAAAGAUGCUCUUAGUAAGUAGAGUGCUUUGAUAUUUUGUCAUUACUGUUAAAAAAAAUACAUUAUCCUUCUGUUUUGCUGCAAAAUGAGGGAAAAGGACCACAUUAUUCAAAAAUGCUUUUCAGAUAUGGAGUUCAGUUCAGCACAGUUCUGAAGUGCACAGUGACUGCAAUUUCAAAUGUUCACAGUUACAUUACAAAAACUUAAAAAAAAUUACAAAAGUGUAAUUUCUAUAUAGGUACAAGCAAAUCUUUUAGAAACAAUAUAUGAUUUUUUUAUAUAAAAGUCUGAGAAGUCCAAAUGAAACUCAAAGAUGUUCCCAUUUACUUUAAAUUGGUACUUGGCAUCUCCUUUGGGAUUAAUGAAUGUUAUUAUAUCUUCAUAUAAUGCUGAAUGACUAUUUGCUGAAAAAUUGAGGUUCUUUUAAGGUCCCUUAGGUUGGGCACUAAAUUAAUUGGGUUAUUUGAACUCUAUUAGUCAUCUGAAACAACUUGGCCUCUAUUUCCUGCUCUUAGCAACUUAUUAAUGUGGAGAGGAGAGGAAAAGAGCAAAGGAGAAAAUGUCAGCACACUUAUUUGCGGGUAAUGCUUCCAUCUGGAGAGCAGUGACCACCACAAUUCUUGCAAAGAGGCCGAAUUGUACAAGCCUUCUGGAGAGCUGCUUUCCUAGAACUGAAGUGAAAAUGCUAUUGCAGUUAAAGGUAGAAAAGACCACAUUCUGUAGUGUCCUAUGUUGACCCCUUUGAAAUUUUCCAUUGCUGGCAGUGAGAGACCAAGUGAGGAAUGAGGACACCCAACUGCCACUUGUCCUUCACACAGCUCAUAUUUCCCUUCAUCCUAUCACAAUGAUGUAAUUGAAGUCUGCAGCCUGUGUCUAUUAAGCUGUAAACAAAUGCAUCUGUCAGUCAGUGAGAAAUUUUAGAAAGAGGAAAACCAUGCAGUUCAUCAUAUGUAACCACUAGGAGAAACUUAAGCACUGAAACUGCUCACACUGAUCAUGUUCUCAGGCAUGAGCAAUUAGAAGUAGGACCAGCAAAACCAGGGUAUGUAUUUGUAAUUUCAGCUGCUGGGCUGGUUUCAGAAUUCUCCAAAGAGGGAUGUAAAUAGUCAUGUGACCAGCUGUUUAAGCCUAAAUCCGUAAUAAAACUAAUGAGUUAUUUCAAAAUAUAUGUGAGCAGGCAAUUAGUUACUAGAGGUGUUAAAAAAAAAAAAAAAAAAAUCUAUAUUUGUUGUGCAAGGGAAGCUGGAGGUCGUUGUAUCCAGAAUUUUGUGUUUGUAGAAUAGAUCCCAGUGGAUGCAGGUGCAUUGCACACCAAACUUGUGCGGGCAGUAGAAGAGCACAGAAGCUUUGGAACAGCUCUUCUGGGUGGAUGCUCAGCUCCAGAACAAGUGAUGUGAUGGCCAGGUCUGCCUUGGAUGGUCUCAGCACUAUAGAUCAAAGCCUCCACAGGAACAGUGCCUUGCAGUAAUACCUAGUGGCAGAUAAGCAUGUGAGCAAUGGGCCUGUGUAAACUACAUGGUGUAGUUUGAGCACAACAGCACCUGCCAGAGGAUGGGUUCUUCGUCUAGAAAGGCUCAUGCACUCAAUGUAAGAAGUGUGACGUUAUGUGAUACUAGACUGACCAUAGAUUUUACUAAUUUCAAGCUUAUUUGGUGAAAUUGUCUGUUUUGUUUUGUUUUGUUUUGUUUUUUCCCCAGAUUGUUGCUCAUAUCUCUACAGUUGAUGGCAGUUUCAUUUCUGUCAUUUUGCCUUUAUUCCAGUGUGCCAUAAUCCUUGCUUAACAUCUCCAUAGAAAACUAUAUUAGCAAGCAAAAUAUCUGCACGCUACAACCUGUUUCAGAGCUUAAGGUUAUGAGAUGGGUAUUUUCCUUAUGAUCUUCUAGGUAUCUGCAUUGCUAUUCCACAUUGGAAGAACAAUCUCAUCAGUAAGAACUGUGAGAUUUCCCUGUUUUCACAGUUAUGUGAAUGCCACCCUUCCUCAAGUAAUAAUCACUUGCUAACCUUGCAUUUGUUGCUCUUUCAGAUUUCGCAGCCAGAAGUGACACUGCUGACAGCUUGAUAAACUGUUUGCCACUUAUGAUGGCUUUGCCUCUUCCAGGAACAUUCUUUCCCGUGUAUACUCACUUUGAAGAACCACCCUGGUUUUAAUCUGAAGCUUCUGCACAAAUUAGGCAGCCUUUGCUCUGCAAAAUUACUGGGAGGAAAAGAGUGAAAUUGUGGCUUAAGAAAACAUUGCCUAUAAUAAAAGAUCAAGUUCAUGUGGAAGAAGAGUUCUGUGGCACUAAUAAUGUGGGUGCCUCUUGAUGUGGGUCCUAGUUUCACAUGGGUCUUGGCAGUAAGAUGAUACAGAAGAAGAUACAGUUUUCAGGUUAUAUCUUGCAUUUCAUUUCAUGGUCUGCUUCGAUUAUUUUGUUUGCUUUUUAGGUAAUUUGGUGACAAAUUUACCGACAGGUGGUGCUGCUGCUCCAAAUCCUCUCUGUUCAGUCUUGAUUUGAAAAAGGAAUGUUGGCGCUUGCAUUUCAACAUUCCAGAGGUUUCUCAGGCUCUAGAGAAAAACACUAUGAAAUAUUACUCAAGCUGAUUAUUGCCUCGUCCUUUCGUCUGUGGGGAACCUUAAAGCAGUGGUUUCCCUCUUGGGGCCUCUGAAUCUCUGGAGGUCUUCCUUUCACUUCCUUUGGAUCCUUGGUCUUGGAGAAGGUCCUGUUAAACACAAAUUGGUUUAGCUCUACUACAUAGUGUGAAUAACUCUCUUCAUUCCUUGAUAUUGCUUCCUUCAGGGUAUUUAAACUGUGUUAUCAUCUCCCUUCAGGCUCCUUUUAUC